rnacentral:lncRNA from 12 species
GGGAAGGGGCAUGAGGAAACCUAGCUGUAGUGAGAGGGUCCUGUGUUCUGUGUUCCUCUUAAAGGAAAGAGGGAAUCAAGUGUUCCUCCAGGUCAACCAUUCUAUAACCAACCCCUUGCCCAGAAAGGACACACCCUCCAGGGUGAUCUAUUCGCACCGAAAACUUCAUCCACAUGGUAUCAGAUACACAGAGUUGUACGCCAACACCAGAUCAGAUCACACAGGGACAUCCACAGUUGAUCUGGUGCCUGCCAUGGGCUUUUGGGGUGGGGUGGGUGGGAAGAGGACUGGAAUCUAAACUGGAAGGGCUGGUGUGAUGUCCAGAGAGGAGGGACCCAUGAGCAUCUCCAUCUGCCAUGUCAGAAUAGGACAUCACAGGUGUGUCUGCUGGGCUCCUGGGGUGGAGAGGUGCAGUGGAGGGAAGGUCCUCCACACAGGUAUCUGCUCCAUCUGCAUUCUCAUCCCACCCCAGAUACAGACCUUGUUUUCUCUAUCUACAAUGUCCAAUACCCUCUCCCUUCCGUGUUUCCUUUAUCCUCCUUUACCGAUACCGCCCCUGGAGAGGGUUACUUCUACCCUUGUACCACACCAGUGUGCGCAUGGCAGGGUCAGGGGAGAGGAUGUAGGGAGGAAGAAACUACUGAACUGGUUUGGAGUAGAUGUGCAUCAUGUUGGCGUUUUUGGCCAAGUAGGAGCCUGAGGAGUAGGGGGAUCCACGGGCGGAGAAACAAAGGCAUUUGAGGCUGAGGGGGAAGCUGGGAGGGAUGCCCAGGAGAGUGAGUACUCAGGAAAAAGCCCCAGAGGUAGACAAAAGGCAGAGCAGGGCAGGCAGCGGGAGGGGACAGGCCAGGAAGGCGGGAGGGGACAGGCCAGGAAGGCGGAGGGACCUCAAGAGGGGGUGGGGCAUCGGGGCGGCAGAGCAGAUGGAGGGGAUUUGCUUUGCUGAGCUGAACUCUUCAGCCCGUGAGGUUUUGGAGAACUUGGUGGGAGUGAUGAAGAGUUACCUUGGCUGUCCAUUCCUCUGUCUUCAUCACUUUUGCUCCUCCCUUGAGUCUUGGGGAAGGUCCCAGCCCCUUUGUGGCCUUACGGGCCCUGGGGCCUCCGUUCUGCCUCUGGCCAACUCCUUCACUCCUCUAGGCUCACUGCUGAGGGAGAACGGGGCGAGGGAGGGAGAUGGGGUGACGGGCCAGCUGCAGCUCGUUUGUGGUGCCAGGAAGGUGACCUCUUUCUCUCUUGCAGGACCUGAAGGAGAAAAAAGAGAAGGUGGAGGAGAAGGCAAGCCGGAAAGAGCGAAAGAAAGAAGUGGUGGAGGAAGAGGAGAACGGAGCCGAGGAGGAAGAAGAAGAAACUGCCGAGGAUGGAGAGGAGGAAGAUGAAGGGGAAGAAGAAGAUGAGGAAGAAGAAGAAGAUGACGACGAAGGGCCCGCGCUGAAGAGAGCUGCUGAAGAGGAGGAUGAAGCGGAUCCCAAGCGGCAGAAGACAGAAAAUGGGGCAUCGGCAUGAGCCCCCCUGCAGUUGGGCUGGGGGUGGGAGGCCCCUCAAGGGCCUGGAGGUGGGAGUGGGAACAGACGAGUGCAGCCACUCUUCACCUGGCUCCUGGCUCUGGACACUGCACCAGAGCUGCCACCCUCUUUGCCCCCAGCCUUUCUCAUGUCCGCCUCUCCAGACACUGCCCCUUCCAUCCUUACUCUGCCAUUGUUCCACCUCCCGACCUGCUCCAUCUGAGCUCCCCAGCUGGUCCCUAAUUGCUCCUUUCCCUGUCUUUACUCUCCUCCUCUCUCCCCAUUCCCUCUGGUAGCCUCUUCCUCCUCACAUCUGCAUCCCAGCCUCAUGUCCUGUCCAUCCCUACCCUGCCUGAUCCCUGGGUCUCCCUCAGAUCCCCUCCUCUCAGACAGCGCCAGGCCGGGGUGGGGCCAGGGUUGGGGCCGAGCCCCACAGCUGCCCCCCUCCCCUCCCCUUUUUGUAUAAUUUAAUAAAGAAACGGUCGCGCUUCUGUUUUUAACCUGU